AGCGGCGGUGGCGCGGCUGGGCCGCCGCCACCGGCGUCGCGGCCGCCGUGGUGGCGGGCGCCGUCGCCGUCGCCGUGCUCGGCGGCCCGGCCCCGUCG
rnacentral:tRNA from 1 species